rnacentral:tRNA from 1 species
UAAAAAGUGGUGUAUAUAAGCUCACGGGACUUUGAUUCCUGAGGAAAAAAUUGAACAUUUUUCUUUUUAA